AGAGUUUGAUCAUGGCUCAGGACGAACGCUGGCGGCGUGCCUAACACAUGCAAGUCGAACGGAGGUAUUUGCUUCGGUGAAUAUCUUAGUGGCGAACGGGUGAGUAACGCGUGAGCAACCUGACCUUAAGAGGGGGACAACAUCUGGAAACGGAUGCUAAUACCGCAUAAGACCACAGAGCCGCAUGGCAGAGGGGUCAAAGGAGAGAUCCGCUUAAGGAGGGGCUCGCGUCCCAUUAGGUAGUUGGCGGGGGUAACGGCCCACCAAGCCGACGAUGGGUAGCCGAGCUGAGAGGCUGAACGGCCACACUGGAACUGAGACACGGUCCAGACUCCUACGGGAGGCAGCAGUGGGGAAUAUUGGGCAAUGGGCGAAAGCCUGACCCAGCAACGCCGCGUGAGGGAAGAAGGUUUUCGGAUUGUAAACCUCUGUCCUCAGGGACGAAGAAAAUGACGGUACCUGAGGAGGAAGCCCCGGCUAACUACGUGCCAGCAGCCGCGGUAAUACGUAGGGGGCGAGCGUUGUCCGGAAUUACUGGGCGUAAAGGGUGCGCAGGCGGUUCUUUAAGUUGGAUGUGAAAUACCCGGGCUUAACCUGGGGGGUGCAUCCAAAACUGGGAGACUAGAGUACAGGAGAGGGAAGCAGAAUUCCUAGUGUAGCGGUGAAAUGCGUAGAUAUUAGGAGGAAUACCGGUGGCGAAGGCGGCUUUCUGGACUGAAACUGACGCUGAGGCACGAAAGCGUGGGGAGCAAACAGGAUUAGAUACCCUGGUAGUCCACGCUGUAAACGAUGAAUACUAGGUGUAGGGGGUAUCAACUCCCCCUGUGCCGGAGCAAACGCAAUAAGUAUUCCGCCUGGGGAGUACGGCCGCAAGGUUGAAACUCAAAUGAAUUGACGG
rnacentral:rRNA from 1 species